GGGAUUGUAGCUCAGUGGUAGAGUGCUCACCUAGCACAUGUGAGGUACUGGGUUCAAUCCUCAGUACCA
rnacentral:tRNA from 1 species